rnacentral:rRNA from 1 species
AUUGAACGCUGGCGGCAGGCCUAACACAUGCCAGUCGAGCGGAUGAAGGGAGCUUGCUCCUGGAUUCAGCGGCGGACGGGUGAGUAAUGCCUAGGAAUCUGCCUGGUAGUGGGGGAUAACGUCCGUAAACGGGCGCUAAUACCGCAUACGUCCUGAGGGAGAAAGUGGGGGAUCUUCGGACCUCACGCUAUCAGAUGAGCCUAGGUCGGAUUAGCUAGUUGGUGGGGUAAAGGCCUACCAAGGCGACGAUCCGUAACUGGUCUGAGAGGAUGAUCAGUCACACUGGAACUGAGACACGGUCCAGACGCCUACGGGAGGCAGCAGUGGGGAAUAUUGGACAAUGGGCGAAAGAAUGAUCCAGCCAUGCCGCGUGUGUGAAGAAGGUCUUCGGAUUGUAAAGCACUUUAAGUUGGGAGGAAGGGCAGUAAGUUAAUACCUUGCUGUUUUGACGUUACCAACAGAAUAAGCACCGGCUAACUUCGUG